CCGACCUUAGCUCAGUUGGUAGAGCGGAAGACUGUAGUCUGUGAUAGCAAAUCUGUAGGUCGCUGGUUCGAUUCCUGCAGGUCGGA
rnacentral:tRNA from 2 species